rnacentral:rRNA from 1 species
GAUGAACGCUGGCGGCGUGCCUAAUACAUGCAAGUCGAGCGAAUGGAUUAAGAGCUUGCUCUUAUGAAGUUAGCGGCGGACGGGUGAGUAACACGUGGGUAACCUGCCCAUAAGACUGGGAUAACUCCGGGAAACCGGGGCUAAUACCGGAUAACAUUUUGAACCGCAUGGUUCGAAAUUGAAAGGCCGCUUCGGCUGUCACUUCUGGAUGGACCCGCGUCGCAUUAGCUAGUUGGUGAGGUAACGGCUCACCAAGGCAACGAUGCGUAGCCGACCUGAGAGGGUGAUCGGCCACACUGGGACUGAGACACGGCCCAGACUCCUACGGGAGGCAGCAGUAGGGAAUCUUCCGCAAUGGACGAAAGUCUGACGGAGCAACGCCGCGUGAGUGAUGAAGGCUUUCGGGUCGUAAAACUCUGUUGUUAGGGAAGAACAAGUGCUAGUUGAAUAAGCUGGCACCUUGACGGUACCUAACCAGAAAGCCACGGCUAACUACGUGCCAGCCGCCGCCGUAA